rnacentral:rRNA from 1 species
AGAGUUUGAUCCUGGCUCAGAAUCAACGCUGGCGGCGUGCCUAACACAUGCAAGUCGCACGAGAAAGGGGCUUCGGCCCUGAGUACAGUGGCGCACGGGUGAGUAACACGUGAAUCAUCUACCUUCGAGUGGGGAAUAACUGAGAGAAAUCUUAGCUAAUACCGCAUAAUACCCAAGGGUCAAAGCAGCAAUGCGCUUGAAGAGGAGUUCGCGGCAGAUUAGUUAGUUGGCGGGGUAAUGGCCCACCAAGACGAUGAUCUGUAUCCGGCCUGAGAGGGCGCACGGACACACUGGAACUGAAACACGGUCCAGACUCCUACGGGAGGCAGCAGUGGGGAAUUUUGCGCAAUGGGGGAAACCCUGACGCAGCAACGCCGCGUGGAGGAUGAAAUCCCUUGGGAUGUAAA